AGGACGAACGCUGGCGGCGUGCCUAAUACAUGCAAGUCGAACGGUCUUUCUAUGGAAGCUUGCUUCCACUGAGAAGAUAGUGGCGAACGGGUGAGUAACACGUGGGUAACCUGCCCAUAAGAGGGGGAUAACAUCCGGAAACGGGUGCUAAUACCGCAUAGUUUUCUUGAUCGCAUGAUCGGGAAAGGAAAGACGGCCUUUGUGCUGUCGCUUAUGGAUGGACCCGCGGCGUAUUAGUUAGUUGGUGAGGUAACGGCUCACCAAGACGAUGAUACGUAGCCGACCUGAGAGGGUGAUCGGCCACAUUGGGACUGAGACACGGCCCAAACUCCUACGGGAGGCAGCAGUAGGGAAUCUUCCGCAAUGGACGAAAGUCUGACGGAGCAACGCCGCGUGAGUGAAGAAGGUUUUCGGAAUCGUAAAACUCUGUUGUCAGAGAAGAACAAGUUGGAGAGUAACUGCUCCAGCCUUGACGGUAUCUGACCAGAAAGCCACGGCUAACUACGUGCCAGCAGCAGC
rnacentral:rRNA from 1 species